GAUGAACGCUAGCGGGAGGCUUAACACAUGCAAGUCGAGGGGCAUCACGAGGUAGCAAUACUUUGGUGGCGACCGGCGCACGGGUGAGUAACACGUAUGCAACCUACCCUGUACAGGGGGAUAACCCGGAGAAAUUCGGACUAAUAUCCCAUGAUGAUAUUGAGGGGCAUCCUUUAAUAUUUAAAGCUCAGGCGGUACGGGAUGGGCAUGCGGAACAUUAGCUAGUUGGCAGGGUAACGACCUACCAAGGCUAAGAUGUUUAGGGGACCUGAGAGGGGUAUCCCCCACACGGGUACUGGGACACGGGCCAGAAUCCUACGGGAGGCAGCAGUGAGGAAUAUUGGUCAAUGGGCGCAAGCCUGAACCAGCCAGCCCGCGUGAAGGAAGAAGGCGCUAUGCGUUGUAAACUUCCUUUCCAGGGGGUGAAUAAUUCCGAUGUAUCGGGAGAUGACGGUACCCUGGGAAUAAGCAUCGGCUAACUCCGUGCCAGCAGCCGCAGUAA
rnacentral:rRNA from 1 species